AGAACGAACGCUGGCGGCAUGCCUAAUACAUGCAAGUCGAACGAACACUUCGGUGUUAGUGGCGCACGGGUGCGUAACGCGUGGGAAUCUGCCCUUGGGUUCGGAAUAACAGUUGGAAACGACUGCUAAUACCGGAUGAUAUCGAAAGAUCAAAGAUUUAUCGCCCAGGGAUGAGCCCGCGUAGGAUUAGCUAGUUGGUGAGGUAAAGGCUCACCAAGGCGACGAUCCUUAGCUGGUCUGAGAGGAUGAUCAGCCACACUGGGACUGAGACACGGCCCAGACUCCUACGGGAGGCAGCAGUAGGGAAUAUGGACAAUGGGCGCAAGCCUGAUCCAGCAAUGCCGCGUGAGUGAUGAAGGCCUUAGGGUUGUAAGCUACUUUUACCCGAGAUGAUAAUGAACAGUAUACGGGAAGAAGUAACGCCCCGGUACUAACCGUCCCGUCGCCCAGCCAGACCGAC
rnacentral:rRNA from 1 species